GGUGAGUUGGCUACCUCACUGACUUGGAUUAAUUGAAAGUCAAGAAUCUUGUCAGAGCAUUGUUCCAUCACAGUAUAGGUACAACAUUUUGCACUAUACCCUGGGACCUAUCACGUCUCCCAUUUCCUAUGGUACUCACUGAGUCUACUUUUGGCUGCAAGAGUGUCUCUUGGUGGCUCUUCCAUGUUUCAUCAAUGACAGGAAACACAUACUGAUCUUGGAUUCUAUAGUAUGUUGACGCUGAUAUAAAUGCGAGUUUUAGGUGUCAGCAAAAUGGGAAAGUCGUUGGCAUACCUGCAAUCAGCGGUUGUGAGGUCCACUUUACAUCGUGACCAUUCAGGCAACUGAUGUUUACAGUCAGCAGUGUUCCUGUACAAAACUGUGUUAAACUAGCUGUGGGUGCUCUACAUGAUGGACAAUAAUGAAGCCUCACCUUGUUCAGAAGCUGAAUCAGAUGAAUACAUGCUGCUGUUGUGGCUGAAACUGAAAGAGGUGUCACGUUGUUCAUCAUGCAGGGAUGUCUCAGUAAAGUUGCUAGGAUGUAGUGGUGUUGAGGUUAUCGGGUAGUCUAAGUCAGGCUCAAAUGAGUAGAUGUCGUCCAAGUUGUACUGUGUGCUUGAUUUGCAGGUAGAUGAUCUAAUGUCAUCUAGGUCAUAUUGCAAAGAGGCAUCACAAGUUU